ensembl:lncRNA
AUACCAGCAUGGGGCUGCCCAGGAGCAGCUGAGAGCGGGAAGGCACGAAAACAGCCACCGAGCCACCUGCUUCGCAGCGGUAAAAUGCCACAGAACCUGCUGCGGCUGGCCAUGACGUACAGCUGAGUCACUGGAUGCCUGGUGGCACUAAACAUGCUGAUGAUCAUAGUGCACCCUUUUGCAGGCUGCAACAAAUCACUGCAGCUGCAUGAUCUCCCCUGGUUGCCCCGACUCGAAGUCAGGCCUGUCUGCUUUUGGUUCCCGCUGUGCAGGGAAGCCUGGAUGUGAUUCAUCAAGGGAUGUCUGAUUUGCUUAGCGGGGAGCCCUCCGGCUGCCAGGUGGAAGCACAAAGUGGUUCGUCAGCAGCUGCAAAGGAGUUGACAGGUGUCUGCAUCGGGCUUCCUGCUAAUUAAGCGCUGUUGUGAGUCGCAGGCAAAGGGAUGGAGGAGCCAGGAAGAAGCUCACCCAUGAAGUCUGGAUCCCCAGAGCGCUGCAGACACAUUUUGUUAUCCUGGCUGUCAAGAAGCUUAAAGAGCUGCUGAUGCCUUCUGGAAAACUUUGACAAACCCUCUGUUUGGGCACCGUGCUGCCUCCCCAGCCUGUCUGCCCGGGCUUUCUGCUCCCCGCUUCUUUAUUAGCAGUGAUGUCUGUGAGGAUAGGAGGAGGAAAAAAAAAGCCCCAUCUCUGGCAUCUGUGCAGAACUGAUCUCUUCUUGAGGCCCCUUCGCUUCCAGAGGAUGUGCUGGGACAGAGCAGAGCUACGGAGGUUGAGUAUCAAAGACCAAAUUUGUGUUGCAGGCUGUUCUGUGCACAUCUCACAGCAGAAAGGGCCUCUGGGAUGAAGGCAUUGAUUUAUCCCUACAUGCACGGAGGGUUUAAACCUGUGGUUGCAGGCUCUUGGGGAACCAUUUCAGACGGUCUAUGGGAGGUGAGCAGGGGAGAUGAUUUGUGCUUGAAGACCUGUGUAGAAGUCUGUGUUCCCAAAGGGAAAUUUUUAGCAGCCAGAAAUGGUUGAAAAAUCACAAAUUUAGCUGCUUAUUUAUAGCCCCUCACCACUCAGUUGGACUGGAUUAACCCAGUGAGCUGAGCGGAACAACUUCCCCAUCUAUUCUGGCUCUCUUUGGCGAUCUAAUCCUCUCCCAAUUAGUUUCUUUUUACAAAGUAGUUGUCAGGCUGCUUUUAGAGAAUAAAAUGCCCCUCGGUCUCUUCGGUAACGUGGGGAAGUGGACCAGACACACCGAGAACAGAUUGUCUCUAAAUGUAAUUUUGGUCAAAGUUCUGCUUAAGAAUUGCAGAGUCAGCCACAUGCUUUUAGCACAAUGAGAAUGAGCCAGCCGAACCCGUAACCUCUGUGGUUUUGGUCCAGCUGAGAACAAAGUCAUCUUCUGCCUCAAACCCUUCUGCCCAGCACCCUGCCGAGCUCUGAAAUUUGGAGUGCCUUUGAGGUGCCACUCAAGCCAGCUGUCCUCAGGCGGGAUGGAGCAGUGGCUGUCAGUCCCUGGAGGUCUGUCAGCUCCAGGGGGUUGAGGAUGCACAAUGCUGGGGGGGAGCAGAGCAAUUACAGGGCCAACAGAGGUAGGACCAGGCUUUCUGUGCUAACAAGGAUCCUGCUGCAGGGAUGAGGCGUCUGGGCUCUGAGGGAAAAGCCCUGAGUGACAAGCAUGUUCCCAUGCCCUCUGGGCACAUCAGAAUGGCCAUAGGAGGUCCACAAGCUCAAUGGGUCACUGCAAACUGAGGCAUGUUCCCACCUUGGCUUAACCCCUUCCUUGCUUCUGUUCUCUGCACUGAGCUCUUGGCAUGGGGCUCCUGGUGUUUCUUGCUUGUUUUCAUUCCUCUCUGUGACUGGUACCCCCUGCUCCUGACCUCUGGUAAUAUGUUUAGCAUCACCAAUGCUAUUUAAUAACCAUAGAAUCAUUAAGGUUGGAAAAAGACCACAAAGAUCAUCUAGUCCAACCAAUAUGCUAUGUUAACUGUUAGAAACUGUAGAUGAGUUACCCUGACUGCUAAAAUGUUUAAGCAGUAAUAAAGCUGUAACU